rnacentral:rRNA from 1 species
CCCUUAGAUGUCCUGGGCCGCACGCGUGCUACACUGACGCAUACAGCGAGCACUUUCCAGUUCCGAGAGGCUACUGGUAAUCAUCAAUAUGCGUCGUGAUGGGGAUAGAUCUUUGGAAUUCUGGAUCUUGAACGAGGAAUGCCUAGUAAUCGCAGGUCAUUAGCCUGCGAUGAUUAAGUCCCUGUCCUUUGUACACACCGCCCGUCGCUACUACCGAUUUCGAGUGGUCAGGUGAAUCUUUCGGACUGUGGACGCCCUUGAGGUGUUCGCGGAAAGUCAGGUAAAUCUUAUCACUUAGAGGAAGUAAAANUCGUANCA